GCGCGAAAACUUUACAAUGCGGGAAACCGUGAUAAGGGGACACCGAGUGCCAGCAUCAUAUGCUGGCUGUCCGGAUGUGUAAAAUACAUCCGUUAGCAAGGGCCGGGCAAGACCGGUGCCAGCCGCCGCGGUAACACCGGCGGCUCGAGUGGUAACCGUUAUUAUUGGGUCUAAAGGGUCUGUAGCCGGCCGGAUAAGUCUCUUGAGAAAUCUGGCAGCUUAACUGUCAGGCUUUCAGGAGAUACUGUCUGGCUCGAGGCCGGGAGAGGUGAGAGGUACUUCAGGGGUAGGGGUGAAAUCUUGUAAUCCUUGAAGGACCACCAGUGGCGAAGGCGUCUCACCAGAACGGACCUGACGGCAAGGGACGAAGGCUAGGGGCACGAACCGG
rnacentral:rRNA from 1 species